ACGGUUAAGCCGGGAAAACAACUGAUGGUUUCAGGAGGGAAGAAACCCCUUGGGGAAACGCCCGGAGCCUGCAUAUAUUCCAGCCGAGCAUCCUGGCGCCUGUUUUCGGGAGGGAGGGGUAGCGGGGAGAGUUUGGAU
ensembl:misc_RNA